GAUGAACGCUGGCGGCGUGCCUAAUACAUGCAAGUCGAGCGAACAGACGAGGAGCUUGCUCCUCUGGCGUUAGCGGCGGACGGGUGAGUAACACGUGGAUAACCUACCUAUAAGACUGGGAUAACUUCGGGAAACCGGAGCUAAUACCGGAUAAUAUAUUGAACCGCAUGGUUCAAUAGUGAAAGACGGUUUUGCUGUCACUUAUAGAUGGAUCCGCGCCGCAUUAGCUAGUUGGUAAGGUAACAGCUUACCAAGGCAACGAUGCGUAGCCGACCUGAGAGGGUGAUCGGCCACACUGGAACUGAGACACGGUCCAGACUCCUACGGGAGGCAGCAGUAGGGAAUCUUCCGCAAUGGGCGAAAGCCUGACGGAGCAACGCCGCGUGAGUGAUGAAGGUCUUCGGAUCGUAAAACUCUGUUAUUAGGGAAGAACAAAUGUGUAAGUAACUAUGCACGUCUUGACGGUACCUAAUCAGAAAGCCACGGCUAACUACGUG
rnacentral:rRNA from 1 species